rnacentral:tRNA from 1 species
GGGUAUAGCUCAAUGUUACAGCACUUGCCUAGCAAGCAUGUGGUCCUGGGUUUGAUCCCCAAAACCACA